rnacentral:rRNA from 1 species
CACGUAGGGGCCAAGCGUUGUCCGGAUUUAUUGGGCGUAAAGAGCUCGUAGGCGGUUCGACAAGUCGGGUGUGAAAACUCCGGGCUCAACCCGGAGACGCCACUCGAUACUGUCGUGACUGGAGUCCGGUAGGGGAGUGGGGAAUUCCUGGUGUAGCGGUGAAAUGCGCAGAUAUCAGGAGGAACACCGGUGGCGAAGGCGCCACUCUGGGCCGGUACUGACGCUGAGGAGCGAAAGCGUGGAUAGCAAACAGG